ACCAUGGUUUGACAGUUUCAGUGCGAGAAGCUAAUAAUAGAGACACACAAGAUCAUGGUAUAGAAGGAAGUAAUACCAAGACUGGGCCCCAAUCUGAUUUGGUGGGCACCUCAGAUGGACACUAUUGCUCUCCCACUUCUGGUCAUGCAAUGUACCAAAGGGAACCCUUGGAAAUGCAAAGUAACAAUAAUACAGAAUUUACAGUCCAAGAAGAACCCCAGACAAACCAGAGUUGGACAGAGUUAGUACCAGUACCUUAUAGUGAAUAUGGACGAUAUUAUGAUGCAGCGGGAAAUCUUUCAGGUGGAUAUAAAA